rnacentral:rRNA from 1 species
CGCUCUCUGUUUAUUUAGGUUAGUUAAUNUAGAGAGUCGGACCUGCCCAGUGACGUGAGUGUUAAACGGCCGCGGUACUCUGACCGUGCAAAGGUAGCAUAAUCAUUUGCCUUUUAAUUGGAGGCUUGUAUGAAUGGUUUGACGAGAGCUAAGCUGUCUCCCUUUUUAAAUAUUUAGAAAUUAAUUUGUAGGUGAAGAGGCCUACAUAUAUCUGAGGGACAAGAAGACCCUGUUGAGUUUGAGUGUAGAUUAAAAUUAGGUUGUUGUGUGUGGUUAUUGAGCUAUUAUGUAAACGAGGUUGUAUAAAAUUAGUAUAGAUUAGAUUUUUCUUUAAUCUUUAGUUGGGGCGACUGAGGAGCAUGAGAAGCUUCCUUUAAUGAAAUAUGGCUGUCGGGCUAGUUUGAUCCAAUUUUUAUUGAUCAAAGGAAAAAAUUACCACAGGGAUAACAGCGUAAUCUUUUUGGAGAGUUCUUAUCGAAGAAAGGGUUUGCGACCUCGAUGUUGGACUAAGAUAUCCCGGGGGUGUAGAAGCUUCUGAAGGUUGGUCUGUUCGACCAUUAAAAUCUU